AUGGAAUCUGAUCCCAGAAGGAAUAGAUAUUCUAAUAACACACGGACCACCCCUGGGUUUUCUAGACUGGGUCCCCAAGAAGAUGCAGCGGGUGGGCUGUGUGGAGCUGCUGAACACGGUGCAGAGGCGAAUCCAGCCCCGACUCCACGUCUUUGGACACAUCCACGAAGGUCAGUGGCGGCCCAGGCGAGGACGGGCGGGGGUGGUGAGGGGAGCCCCUCACAGGCUUGCACCGGUGGGAGUGCCGCUCCGUCCCUCACCUGCGGGGGCGCUGUGGCCGGAGGAGGCCAGGGGGGUGGGUCCGGCUCAGCCUUAUCUCAUCGACCCUCCGGAUUACCUGGGCUCCUGGGUUCUGCCAUUUCACAGAUGAGGAAACUGAGGCAGACAAGGGUGAAGGGACUGGCCCAGGGUCACACAGCCGGCGGGUGUCCAAGGCCUGGGGAGCCUUUCCCGAGCUUCUCCCCUUCCCUCUGAAGAGCGUCUAACAGGCGCUUCUUGUGUCCUAGGCUACGGAGUCAUGGCGGACGGGACCACCACGUACGUGAACGCGUCUGUGUGCACUGUGAACUACCAGCCCGUGAACCCCCCCAUAGUCAUUGAUUUACCGACGCCCCGAAACUCCUGAUCCCUCCCGGCCGGGCCGCCUCCCCCUGGCCCGGGCCGCCUCCACCCCGUGUAUGUCCUAUUUAAUGUGUUAAAGGCCAUCCCCCGCCUCAUGACGCCACCCGCUGUUGCCGUGUCUCAUUCUUGAACGACGCUCGGACCCCGCCGGCCCCCUUCUGGGUUCUGCUCGGGGCCAGGCAGGGGAGAUUUGGUUAGGACAGACCUUCGGGCAUGGCCGGCCACAGGGCCAGACGGGGCAGCCAGGACAGGCAGGAGACCGAAGGCUUCCUCGAAGCCCAUCGGUGUAGUGGGUGGAGCGCAGGAAUUGUAGUCAGACCGUCUGGGGUUCAAAUCCUGCUUCAGACACUCACGGUGUGACCCUGGGCGAGUCACUGUGGGAGGACUCGGGAGCCUCCAGCCCCUCCCCGCUUCCUCCCAUUCCCCUUCCUGGCCCAGGGCAGGCCCGGGUUCUGGCCUCGGAGAAGCUUUCUGGCCCAGGCCGGCGAUGAGGGCUUUUCCCGCAAAGCUGUAACCUGUGUCUGUUGUGAAAAUAGCAAAGCGCUCCGGGGCCAUCUUGGAAGCGCUCAAACCCUCGAGGGGCCUUUCCCGGCCACGGCCACUCCGUGCUUGGCCCCGCCCCAGGCCCCGCCCCGGAGGACCCCACUCCCUCCGCCCCGCCCCGCCCCGCCCGAGUGUCGGGUGGAAACAGUUUGAUUUGGAGAAAUUUGCCAUGUGGGUGUCCAUACUGUGUGUCUGCUUGCGGAAACAGACAGCUUGGGAGCCCAGGCUGGAAGUGCUCGCGGGCGAUCGGAGAGGCUUCAAACCCAGCACACAAACACACGCCCCACCGCGUGCCUUCCCAGAAGCCUCCGCGAAAUGGUCUCCGGCCUCCUGACGCUGCCGCUCCCCGUCCUCUCUGCCGAGCAGAUGGACAAGAGCAUCCUUUAGCUCAGAACCUCGCCGAAUCCCAGCUGUCCGGAGAGCAGCGCCACGAGGGCCCGUGUUCCCAUCAACAACUCGCCCCGUCGGGCCUCGGUUUCCCGGUCUGUCUGCUAAACGAGGGGGCUAGACAAGAGGCCGAGAGCCUUUCCCACUUCGUAUUCAAUGUUCUAGCAACCUUCUCUCCCCACCUGCCACCUCCUCGGUCUUCUCCUGCUGCCCGACGUCCUGUGUUCUCGUCGCACAGCCGCCCCUCUUCUAUCUUCCACCUUCUGUGGUCCGAGAUCCCUCUGAGCCCUGCAAGGGUCCCAGGGCCCCUCCCAGGUCUCGCAGUCCCUGUUCCAAGGCCCCUCCUAGCUCGGACGUUCCUCUGCUCUGCUCUAAGGUCCCUCCCAGCGAGGCUCUCCGGGUUCACAGACCGCCCCCUCCCCAGGGCUCACGUUCUAUGACGCGUCCCUUGUCUGGUGUGAGCUUUGAGUUGAUGCUGUGCCCGAAUUCAGACCUGGAAUCUCCCAGGAACCCUCUCCACUGGUCCGAGAAGCCCGGCUCCCCCAAGACGACAAGGGUUUCCUUUCUUGGGCUGGGCUGGACUCAUUCUGCUGGACUGGACCCAGUGGGUUUCAGGGCUCCUUCGAGGCUUCCUUAACCAGGAAGGGGUCCCUGAGGGGGGCCUCAUCUUGGCUCAGGACAAGGUCAUGGGCAGCAGGUGCCCCCAUUCCUGGAAGUCGGCUGGAAGGCAAAGAAGCCAGAAAUGUUUACGUUGACCUUCUCAGUGCUUCAGAUACUAAAAAUACUAGGAGAGGGGGGUGGCGGCAAGAGGCCAUUUCGUUGGCCUCUCCUACAUUUGUAUGUCAGUCAUCAAAUACUCUCUUUACAAAACCAUUUUUCCUAAGGUAUGUUCAAAAUAUUGUGUAUUUUUAUGUGGAAGACGUUAUGAACACAGCUGCUCCUUUAAAAGAAAAUUCAUUAAAAGGACUUGAGGUAUGAACGAUUAGAGAGCGCUCUUUAAUCAUUCUGGCAGAACUGGAUUGUUCCUGUAAUUUUUUUGUCAAGCAUGUUAGACAAAUAAAAUCUUUCAAAGAGCAAAUGGCCCC
rnacentral:lncRNA from 1 species